UACGGAGGGGGCUAGCGUUGCUCGGAAUGACUGGGCGUAAAGGGCGCGUAGGCGGAUCUCACAGUCGGGCGUGAAAUUCCUGGGCUUAACCUGGGGGCUGCGUUUGAGACGUGGGGUCUGGAGUUUGGAAGAGGGUCGUGGAAUUCCCAGUGUAGAGGUGAAAUUCGUAGAUAUUGGGAAGAACACCGGUGGCGAAGGCGGCGACCUGGUCCUGGACUGACGCUGAGGCGCGAAAGCGUGGGGAGCAAACAGG
rnacentral:rRNA from 1 species